UACGUAGGGUGCUAGCGUUGUUCGGAAUCAUUGGGCGUAAAGCGCGUGUAGGCGGUUUGUUAAGUCAGGGGUGAAAUCCUGGAGCUCAACUCCAGAACUGCCUUUGAUACUGAAGAUCUUGAGUUCGGGAGAGGUGAGUGGAACUGCGAGUGUAGAGGUGAAAUUCGUAGAUAUUCGCAAGAACACCAGUGGCGAAGGCGGCUCACUGGCCCGAUACUGACGCUGAGGCACGAAAGCGUGGGGAGCAAACAGG
rnacentral:rRNA from 1 species